GCCAGGCGUGGUGGUGCACGUCUGUAAUCCUAGCUACUCGGGAGGCUGAGGCAGGAGAAUUACUUGAAACCAGGAGGUGGAGGUUGCAGUGAGCCAGGAUCAUGCCACUGCACUCCAGCCUGGGUGACAGAGCAAGACUCUGUCUCAU
ensembl:misc_RNA Metazoa_SRP Metazoan signal recognition particle RNA